AUGAAGCAAGACGAUCAGGAAAGAAAAAUUCAGCGCUCGGCAGUCGCCACGCACACUACCUUGAUGGUCUCCGCGGCGUCGGAGAUGGCGGACGCCUCGGCCGCGGCGGGCCCGUCCUCGUCGUCCGAGGCGUCGCCGCCGUUGAAGCAGUUGCAGCAGCGCGCGGCCGGGGCCCGCUCGCCGACGGCGCCGCCGCCGUCCUCCAGGAAGCUGCGGACCAUGCCGUCCAGGCACACCGAGCUGGGCUCCAAGUCAUCCUUCUCCUUGUCCUUCUCCCCGCCGGCGGAGACGGGCGGGAGCCGCUCCGCCGGCGAGACCCGCAGCACCUGGCGCUCGAAGAGGCGCUUGAGCCGCGACUUGGCCAGCGCGGCGGGGGACGGGGACGGGGACGGAUCGAUCUGCGCCGCGGCGGCCCUCAUGGCGGCGGAGGCGAGCGGACGGGUACUGGUCGGUGCGGCUAGAGGCGGCGAUCCUGGUCUCCGUCGAUCGCCGGCCGCAUAG
rnacentral:rRNA from 1 species